rnacentral:rRNA from 1 species
CCUACGGGUGGCAGCAGUGAGGAAUAUUCGUCAAUGGACGCAAGUCUGAACCAGCCAUGCCGCGUGCAGGAUGACGGCUCUAUGAUUUGUAAACUGCUUUUGUACGAGGGUAAACGCAGAUACGCGUAUCUUUCUGAACGUAUCGUACGAAUAAGGAUCGGCUAACUCCGUGCCAGCAGCCGCGGGAAUGCGGAGGAUUCAAGCGUUAUCCGGAUUUAUUUGGUUUAAAGGGUGCGUAGGCGGUCGGAUAAGUUAGAGGUGAAAUCCCGAGGCUCAACUUCGGAAUUGCGUCUGAUACUGUUAGGCUAGAGAGUAGUUGCGGUAGGCGGAAUGUAUGGUGUAGCGGUGAAAUGCUUAGAGAUCAGACAGAACACCGAUUGCGAAGGCAGCUUACCAAGCUACGUCUGACGUUGAGGCACGAAAGCGUGGGGAGCAAACAGGAUUAGAUACCCUUGUAGUC